rnacentral:rRNA from 1 species
GACGUAGGAGGCGAGCGUUGUCCGGAUUCAUUGGGCGUAAAGAGCGCGCAGGCGGCUUGGUAAGUCGGAUGUGAAAUCCCGAGGCUCAACCUCGGGUCUGCAUCCGAUACUGCCCGGCUAGAGGUAGGUAGGGGAGAUCGGAAUUCCCGGUGUAGCGGUGAAAUGCGCAGAUAUCGGGAAGAACACCCGUGGCGAAGGCGGUUCUCUGGGACGGUACUGACGCUGAGACGCGAAAGCGUGGGGAGCGAACAGG